rnacentral:rRNA from 1 species
AACUCCGGGAAACCGGGGCUAAUACCGAAUGAUAGAAUGUGGCGCAUGCCACGCUUUUGAAAGAUGGUUUCGGCUAUCGCUUACAGAUGGGCCCGCGGUGCAUUAGCUAGUUGGUAGGGUAAUGGCCUACCAAGGCAACGAUGCAUAGCCGACCUGAGAGGGUGAUCGGCCACACUGGGACUGAGACACGGCCCAGACUCCUACGGGAGGCAGCAGUAGGGAAUCUUCCGCAAUGGACGAAAGUCUGACGGAGCAACGCCGCGUGUAUGAAGAAGGUUUUCGGAUCGUAAAGUACUGUUGUUAGAGAAGAACAAGGAUAAGAGUAACUGCUUGUCCCUUGACGGUAUCUAACCAGAAAGCCACGGCUAACUACGUGCCAGCAGCCGCGGUAAUACGUAGGUGGCAAGCGUUGUCCGGAUUUAUUGGGCGUAAAGCGCGCGCAGGCGGUCUUUUAAGUCUGAUGUGAAAGCCCCCGGCUUAACCGGGGAGGGUCAUUGGAAACUGGAAGACUGGAGUGCAGAAGAGGAGAGUGGAAUUCCACGUGUAGCGGUGAAAUGCGUAGAUAUGUGGAGGAACACCAGUGGCGAAGGCGACUCUCUGGUCUGUAACUGACGCUGAGGCGCGAAAGCGUGGGGAGCAAACAGGAUU